GUUCAAAGAGCAAUUUCCAGGCAAAAAAAGUUAAUACCACACCCACACAGGGAAGCUGGCAGUGGAAUGAGCUGCUCAAUGAUUUGGAGGAGGAAAGGCGAGGCUUCUUUGAAAUUGACAGACUCUCACCCAAUGGCUACAGCUCAGGGGACAUAAUGUGUGGUUAUUGGGUGAGAGUGUGUCAGUUUGACAGCUGAUCUGACCCCCAUUCACCUGCACCAGAGACAACCUGGCAGAGCACACACAUACAGGUACAGAGGCACAGGGGAACAAGCCAGAUCCUGCUGGCGAAAGCAACUCACUGACCAACUACCUAAACCAGGUGAAGCAUAGCAUCGACCCAACCACAGGUGCCUCAGCAUUUCUCCCCAGACAACAGUCCGGCCACAAUUCGCAAGACAACCGACUAAGCAAGUUCCAGGAUUCAAUGACUUUUUACAACUCGUAGAAAAACAGCAAUGACCUGACCGUGUGCCUCCCCCCCCCCUCCCCACCACACCGCCCCACACACACUUUCCCUUUUUUUUUGGCUUCCCCAAGAGUUCAGAGCGAGUGAGAGGGCGAUUUGCGGAGGAGAGAGAGAGAGAGAGUGUGCGAGUAGAGAGGGGGGUUCAGGAUGGGUGAGAGCGCAACUCAGAGUCAGAGUUGGUGGAAAUUGACAUUCAUGAGGAAGAAGAAAUCCAACCCCAAAGUCCUGUACCAGAUUCCGGUGGAUAAUGGGAACGGGGAGAGUGAGUCGGCGUAUGCCAACAUUGCGGAGAACGAACUGGCUGCCAAACUGGAGAAAUUCGUGGACAAAUCUACCAAAGGCAAACACGUGAGGGUUUCAAACUCUGGACGUUUCAGGGAGAAGAAGAAAGUUCGAUGCAACUUAUCUGACAAUCCCAAUUUCUUUAAGGAUUCCGAGAAUGGGAGGCAAGACACCUGAACUCUGCAUUUUUAAAAUAUCUAAAUAUAUUUAUACUUGUGUAAAUAUAUGGUAAAACCUCACAUUAAGUCGUAUCAGUUGAGCCCAUACAUUUAAUAUGACGUGUGCAAAGUACGAGUUAUGUCAAACUUGCAUAGAAUAAUAUAAACUCUUCAACAGAACUUGGGGCAGAUAAAUGACUUUAGGUGAUUAUACGACUUGUACAGAUCAGACUUAUGAGAGUUUUUCUGGAGUAACAUUCUGGACGAAGCUGUACAGCGGAGCGAUCAAACCUGGGAUUGCAAAAAAAAAACAGUCUUCAGAAAUGUCUUAAUUCAAAAGACGAUGUUUGUCAAAUAUGUUUCUUGUUAAAUACGGUAAUAGGAAGCAAAUUUGUUUUCUUUUGAAAUUUUUUGUAUAUAUGUGUUAAAGAAAAUACUUUUUUUUUCUAGAAUUAAUAGAAGACAACGGAAUAAAACUCAUAAACCGUG